UUUGUUUUAGAUUCCAUCUCUCACAGUUGAAGUGUACCUAUGAUAAAAAAAAUUACAGACUUUGUAAGAGGGAAAACCUGCAAAAUCGGCAGUGUAUCAAAUCUUGUUCUUUCCACUGUAUAGAAACAAAAUUUGAAAAAUGAUCCUAUAUGAUACCAGGAACAUCUGCAAAAAGACAGGGAGAGAUACUGGAAUAAAAAAGAGAAGGGAGAAGUGAAAUCUAUCUCUGAGCUUACAAAGCGAAAACAAAGAAACAAGAGAUGGUAAUGGAAAUGUAACCAACGGAAUAGAAGACAGACUUUAAAGAGAACACUUGCAAUGGAGACCUACCUAUCAGGCAACACAACACCUCAGUCACCAGAUGACUUGCAGCCAUCAUACCUGCCCCUAACUUACCUGCCCCUGAUGCACAUCCUGAUACCCCUUCCUCAUCGUCUGCAACAGGAAUGAGAAGUAAAAUACUUGCUGACAGGAAAAGGGUUGGAAGAGGUCGCUCAAAAGCAUACAGAGAUCUUAGUAUGACAAUAUGUCAAACUUGAUAAUGCUUUACGGAAAGCUGAGAAAUACAAAAAAGGUAUGAUUGACUGAUGAACAAAAUGAAGAGACAAGAUUCCAACAAAGACAAAGCCAAAACAGCAAAUGAAGGGAACACCGAAGAUCUUCUUAUUGUUUCAAAAUGCCAUAAUUGCAGAGUUAAAACAAAAGUAAUAAAAAAAAUGUGCAAUGCCAAGGACAAACAAGUGGCAUCAAAAAUGCUCAGAGGCAACAUCCUGAGAAAGUAUGGCCUUGUCAAAACUGCAAACAGAGAAUUUUGAUUUUCAGCAAAAGCAAUGAGGGCAAAUGAAAACAGGCCAUCAAGUCUUCAAUACUCCAGGAAAAAUCAGUGUAACAGAAUUAGCACAGCCACAGAAGAGAAAAUCAUUAGAUUCUAUGAACGUAAUGACAACAGCAGAGCAACAACAGGGAAAAAGGACACACUAACGAGGAACAAGAAGAAAAAGCAGAAGCGCUAAGAAGAAGUUUAAGAAAAUUAAAAUGUCCUACUCUGAUUUCUGCAAAAUACGUCCUUUUUGGGUUGUCAAGCCAACAGUCCAGGAUAGGGACACGUCUCUGCAAAACACAAGCCAACCUCCAGUUCAUGGCGGACAAACUACAGCAUCACAAAGCGAUCAGCUGCAGCAACGUUGAGAAAGUUAUUGAGUCUUUGUGCUGUGGGAACCUGAUAAAAAGAGUGCAUGUACACAGUUCUCCCUUUGCCAAGCAAAAGAGCUUAAAACAUCUGACUGUGAUGCUGGUGAGCAGACAUGGUGGUUUGAGUGGAAAAACAAAGCUGAAGAGAGAGAGAAGAAAAACAACAUGGAGAAACAUGAAACAUGGAGAAAUUCACUGUACAUUUGACAGUAAAAUAAAAUAUAUGUGGCACACUGCAGAUUCUAUUGGAGGACCUCUCCAAAGGAUUGAAAGGAAGUUGGGGAAACACGUGUAUGACAUUCGACACCAAUACUCCAAACUGAGAGAAUUAAAAGAUAAUCUGGGGAAAGAGGAAAUCAUUGUGCAUAUUGACUUUGCAGAGAACUACCUGUGUAAAUACACCAGUGAAAUCCAGGCAGUUCACUUUGGUGAUUCUCAGAAGCAGGUGACCCUCCACACCUGUGUUGGAUAUACCACAAAUGACACAGUUUCACUUUGCUCACUGAGUUCUUCUAUGCGGCAUGACCCCUCUGCUAUCUGGGCCCAUCUCUCAAAAACACUGGCCUACUUUCUUGAGCUCUGCCCAUCGGCUACUGCUGUACACUUUGUGAGUGAUGGGCCUACAACCCAAUAUAGGUCUAAAAAUAAUUUGUACUAUCUCUCCACCCUUCCCUUUGAAAUGGGCCUCUAGAGAGUUACGUGGAAUGUCCUAGAAGCCGGACAUGGAAAAGGCCCAGCUGAUGGGGUAGGAGCAGCUGUGAAACGAAGAGCGGAUGAAAUAGUGGCACAAGGCAAGGACCUCCCAAAUGCAAAAACUAUUUGAGGAACUGUCAAAAUACCAGUCAGCUAUCAAGCUCUUAUAUAUCUCAGAGGAGGAGCUAGAGAGCAUCGAGGCCCUCCUACCGGAUCACCUGGAGACAAUCAGUGGGACAAUGAAGAUACACCAGAUCGUCACCGACAGUCCAGGGGAGAUAACUUGGCGGCUACUCAGUUGCUUCUGUUCCUUUCCACAUCACUGCAGCUAUUUCAGCCCACAGACUGUGACUCUGGUUGAAAAAACUGAGGCAGACCAAGAUAGAAAAUUCAACUAAUCUCAAAGCACCUACCAGCCCAUUGAAGAUCUAAGUGAAGCAUUGAAUGGAAAGUGGUAUGUAGUUGAGAAUGAUCAGGACGUUUACCCUGGUAUCGUGCAAGACGUUCACGCAGAGAGUGGUGCUUUUGUGAAAACCAUGAGUCGCAUUGGCCCAACUGUUUUUUUUGGUCAAUGAGAGACGACAUCAUAUGGUACAGACCACAGCAUGUCCUUGGACUUGUCCCUGAGCCCCAUCCAGUGACCAAAAGGUACAUGGAGCUGGAUGCCUUGGUCUGGGAGGAACUUAGCUCUCUUUCUAAGCCUUAGAUACAAUUGGAAACUCACUAUACAGUACAUACAAAGCAGGGCAUAAAAUCAUACAUUAAAUAAAAUGUGUAGCUCUCAAUGAACUCUUCCCUCUAUAUAUGUGCUAGAAUUUCUAUUUGUAGCAUCUGUAACACAUUGUUCUCAUGUUGUUCCGGUGUUUUGUUCAAAAUGUUUGCAAUAAAAUAUUGUUUUCAUACAUA